UACGUCAAAAAAUCCCACCGCAUGACAUGCCCCAAAAUUAAGUUGCAAAAAUUACGUUUAUUCUCAAGUUUGGGAAAACCCCCUCAAACUCAUUUUCGUCGGGAGCCACACGGAAAAAUUGAGUUAUUCAUAAAAUGUAUUGCGAUUACACCUUCAAAAUAACUAAUCGGUUGUUGCUCACAAUUUGUAUAUACCCAAUUCAAUUUUGAGUAGUUUUGGGUUUCCAAUAUACAUAUUUGAACUAACACUCGAUUAUGCAGCUCUGUAUAAAAAGUUUGCUGUUGUUGGAAUCUGCUGAAAAGGGAUGUUCAAGGCUAACUGUGAGCUUUUUCUGUUAUUUUAAUGAAAAAAAGAGCCAAGAAGAAAACAAGUAACAAGAAGAAAAACAUUCAUGGAGAUAUGCGAAUUAUUUUUUCGGAGUUUCGAUAGCAGAAUUCGGCGGAAAUAGGUACUUAAACUGAAAAAUCGACUGGUGCUGGAACAUCGCGAACAGAAAACUGCGAAGUGGCCAAAAGAAGGUUUUGGGAAAAAUGAAGGACUAACCGCGGAAAACUGAUUCGAUGGAUUUACCGGAGACAACCGGUAAUCUGAGGGCGAUUCUUUGGUGAAGCCGACAAAUAAGCCAGCUGCGGUCAUUUGAAAAAAUGAGACCGAACAACAUAGGAUUCCUAUUAGGAUAUUUUUGAGCAUAAAAAAAACUGAUUUGAUGUACUUUCAACUCAAUGUAUUUUCAUGAAAGUCCAAGAACUAUUAAAAAAGGUGCGGGAAGCUCACGUAACACUGCCUCCAGGUGAAUCCGAAAGUGUACUGUGUGUUCCGAAACUAAACUAGAAACGAGAAGACGAUCUUUGCUCAUGGUACCUUAAAUGAAUGAACAUUCAUAACUGAAAUGGUUACGUCAUUGGCAGUGAUCCAACCCGGAAUAUUUCAACGGUCCCGGAAAGUCAUCGGCGGGAUGCAACGAGAAGCGGCCGUUUAAAUAAAAUCCUGUGAGGAAACCCUAUGGCAUCCAGCUCAUUAUAACGUGGAAAAACUAAAAAUAGGAACGAGUAUUUUGUCGCUUACGAUGGUAGAACAUGGUUUUUGAUGAAGACAACAUCAAAUUCAAGUACUUCGUCCCAAGAGUACAUAAUUCCUAUCGGCAUCGGAAUCGGCGAAUUGUGUUGCAGUAGGUAUAAUUCAACUUGGGACCCGGCAAUGGAAAAGAAACACCUCUGCUAUGGCUGAAAGGAACCGGUGCUGAGCAGGUUUAUCGAAUCCGGAACGGUAUCUGGUUCUCGAUUCUCCCGAAAUUCUGCACCAGAUGUUGGGUUAUGAUCCGAAUGGUACCCGGUCAAAGAAGGUUGACAGAUUCUCUCACAAAACUCACAAGCAUCUACUGACGCGAUGCUAUGGAUACGUUUAAAUCUAUUGUAUUUCCUUUGAUGACACAA